UAACUCCCCUCCUUCCCUCCUGCCCUUCCUUAUUUCAUCAAGCACUCUAUACCUCACUCCCUCCUUGAACCCUAACUCCAUCCCUCCUUCCUUCCCUUCCUUACUCCCUCAGACACUCCAUCCCUCCCUCCUUUCUGCCCUUCCAUACUUUCUCAAGCAUUCACUUCUUCCCUUCCUUCCUCCUUCAUUCCAGCAUCCUGCCACACCAUUUUCCUCCUCUCACUCUCCACCCUCCAUUCCUUCUUUCUUCCUUCCUCUCCUCCUUCCUGUUGUCCCUGCCCCCAUCUACAUUCCCUCGUUCUCUCCUUCAUCUCCUCCAGCAUCCAGCCCCACCCUUCCCUUCCUCACUUCCCUUCCCCUGUCCAGAUCUCUUCGUCAUGGGAGCGUCGCAGAAUCCUUUAAUCGACCUGCUACGACCCUUGGCACAGCUUUUUAUGGUCUUGAGUACAGCCAUUAACGACCCUUGUACAGUUCUUUACGGUCUUCACAGCAACCAUUAGUGACUCCAUAUGCACCUUUUUACCUCUUUAGUACAGCCAUUAACGAGCCUUUGUACAACUCUUUACGGUUUUCACUGCAACCAUUAGCAUUACAUAGCUUUUUACCUCUUUAGUACAGUCAAAAACGGCCCUAUGUACAGCUUUUAACUAUCUUCAAAAGGUACAAACUUUAACGACCCUUUGAACGGCUUUUUACCUUCUUUAGCACAAACAUCAACGACUCUUUGAACACCUUUUCGCUACCGCUAGUUCAAUCUUUCCCGUGCCAAAACACGACGCCUCUGCCUUCAAUAAGUCUUCCAGCACAAUUAUUAUCUUCAGUAUUCUGUCCACAAGGUUGAUCUUUACUGUAGCCUUGGAAAAUAGUCGUUAUGGGAAGCUUUUCUGUAGCCUUAGAAGAUAUUCGUAAUGGGAGCCCGAUGCGUUUAAAAAUAUGGACCCAAGAACCGCGCACAAGACAAACCAAGUCACUCCGAAGCCUCGAUGUCGCCACGCACCCAUUUUUCUCGCCAAAAGAAAACGGAGUAGAAAAAACAGAGAGGCGACCUUGAGGAUAAAGUUAUGGAUUUGCUUUUUUUUCCUACUUGUUUCUAUAAUAGUAAAUACGAGGUGAUAAAUACAACGAAGACCUUCCUGUUUAGCACCAGCGCCACGAGGACUCAGCACAGGGACAGCUUCAGAAGGAUUUACCCCUUCCACAGGUAUACAGCUUUAGGAGUCGCGCCGGAAAGGAGGUGAAGAAGAGGUGGAAUAAGUCACGCGGGAUCCUGCAGUCCUUAAAGGAAAUGGGAAGAUGUAAAAUGUCCUUAAUCCCCUCCCAUAUAUCCUGAACGCCCUCGCAGAUAUCCUAAACUUCCUCCCUAAUGCUCCUCCCCCCUUCAAUGUACUCUCCUACCAAUCCUUCCCUUCCUUCUUCACUCCUUUUUUCCUUUCCUUCCUUUUUCUUUUUCCAUUAUUCCUUUCGUUUUUUCCUUUACUCUCUCACUUCACGUCCUCUUCUAACCAGACCCAUUUCCUUUCCUUCAUUCUAUCUUCCUUUCUUACUCUGUUUCUUGCUUCUUCCUUUCCUUCAUUCCCUCCUGUUCAUUCCCCUUCGACGUACUCUGGCACGCAGGUUCUCUUCCUCCUUCUUCCUCCUUAUCUCCGCCGUAUCCGUCAUCUGUUUCCUUCCGCCCACUGACGGGAAAUUGCAUCACAUGAAGAUAAACGUGUGUAGCGGCCACGAAAUCAGGGAGGAGCUGUCCAUUGGCAAGCUUCCAUCUGUCACGCACGUCACAGAACACCUUGGCCCACGGAAGAAAGAAUACAAUGUGCUUAGGAGAGGAGAGGGAAGAGUAGAGGCGAGGAAGAGGAGGAAGAGAAGGAGAUGGAGGUGGAGUUGGAAGGGGAGGAUAAGGAUGAAUAGAAUGUGGUCAGAAUGGGAUAGUAGUAAAAGGAAGAGCAGAGACGAGGUGGUAAGAUAUGGAAAGAUGAAGAUGAAGCUAAGGAUGAAGAGCAAGAGGAGGAGAAGAAAUAGAAAAUACAUGACAAUGAGAAAAAAGAGAGGGAGGUGGAUAGGGAAUAGGGGAAAGAAAGAAGAUGCAUAGGAAUGAGAUGAGAGGAAAAGAGGGAUUGGAAGAGGUACACAGAAGGAAGAGGAAGACAGAAAAGAAAGUAAAAAAAGAAUGGGGUAGGAAAGAAGCAGAUGCAUACGAAUGAGAUGAGAGGAAAAGAGGGACUGGAAGAGGUACACAGAAGGAAGAGGAAGACAGAAAAGAAGGUAAAAGAAGAAUGGGGUAGGAAAGAAGCAGAUGCAUACGAAUGAGAUAGGAGGAAAAGAGGGAUUGGAAGAGGUACACAGAAGGAAGAGGAAGACAGAAAAGAAGGUAAAAGAAGAAUGGGGUAGAAAAGAAGCAUAUCAUCACUACCAUCAUCAGUACCAUCACCAUCACCAACCUACUACCAUACGAAUGAGAUGGGAGGAAAAGAGGGAUUGGAAGAGGUACACAGAAGGAAGAGGAAGACAAAAAAGAAAGUAAAAGAAGAAUGGGGUAGGAAAGAAGCAUAUCAUCAUCACUACCAUCAUCAGUACCAUCACCAUCACCAACCUACUACCAUCACUGAAUCGCCUCCACCACCACCACCGCCACCGCCAUGCUAUUAAUAACAGGUUCCGAUAGAGCGGUGACCAGGUGGCGGGUUUUAUAAUGCCCAUAAACUUACUAUAGGGAGUUAAGGGCGCGGGUCUGGCAAGGAACCCAACCCACGUCCUCUUUAUCCCCCUUCCUACCCCCUUACUCCCUCCCUCAC